ensembl:lncRNA
CCACCAGGUUACUGUUCCCACUAUGUUACUGUUCCCACCAGGUUACUGUUCCCACUAUGUUACUGUUCUCACCAGGUUACUGUUCCUACUAUGUUACUGUUCCCACUAUGUUACUGUUCUCACCAGAUUACUGUUCCCACUAUGUUACUGUUCCCACCAGGUUACUGUUCCCACUAUGUUACUGUUCUCACCAGAUUACUGUUCCCACUAUAUUACUGUUCCCACCAGGUUACUGUUCCCACCAGGUUACUGUUCCCACUAUGUUACUGUUCCCACUAUGUUACUGUUCCCACUAGGUUACUGUUCCCACUAUGUUACUGUUCCCACUAUGUUACUGUUCCCACUAUGUUACUGUUCCCACUAUGUUACUGUUCCCACCAUGUUACUGUUCCCACCAUGUUACUGUUCCCACCAUGUUACUGUUCCCACUAUGUUACUGUUCCCACUAUGUUUACUGUUCCCACUAUGUUACUGUUCCCACUAUGUUACUGUUCCCACUAUGUUACUGUUCCCACCAUGUUACUGUUCCCACCAUGUUACUGUUCCCACCAG